UUCCUUGAUACCGUAGAAAUGCUUUAUCUUACCCACAACAGCCUCCUCCUUGUAAAAUAUAACCGGGUCAACCCCUCUCCACUUGCCUUGCAUUUGUAAUUUUCUUUUGCCUCUAGCAGUCUCGGGCUCAGCUCUUAAAUCAGUUGAAGGUUGAGUUUCCACUUUAUCGGCUUUCUCCAAUAUACCACUGGGCUCAGUAUUCAAAGCAGUCUCGGGCUCAGCUCUUAUAUCAGUUGAAGGUUGAGUUUCCUCUUUAUCGGCUUUCUCCAAUAUAUCACUGGGCUCAGUAUUCAAAGCAGUCUCAUCUGUUCCAUUGCCAGCAUCAUCCAUAGUCGCAUCUUGGCUACCAACAGAAUCCACUGGCUUUACAUCCUCGGUGUUUUCAUCU
rnacentral:lncRNA from 1 species